CCCGCGGCGCAUUAGCUAGUUGGUGAGGUAAGGGCUCACCAAGGCGACGAUGCGUAGCCGACCUGAGAGGGUGAUCGGCCACAUUGGAACUGAGACACGGUCCAAACUCCUACGGGAGGCAGCAGUGGGGAAUAUUGCACAAUGGGCGAAAGCCUGAUGCAGCAACGCCGCGUGAGUGAUGACGGCCUUCGGGUUGUAAAGCUCUGUCUUCAGGGACGAUAAUGACGGUACCUGAGGAGGAAGCCACGGCUAACUAC
rnacentral:rRNA from 1 species